CCAUUGGACGACGAAGAUCUGAUCUCGUACGUCCUCGCUAUAUUAGGUGAAGACUUCGAACCAGUGGUGUCUUCGCUCGUUGGCCGACAAGAUCUAAUCACCAUCGCUAAGAUGUACUCUCAGCUUCUAAGCUUCGAGU
rnacentral:snoRNA from 1 species